rnacentral:tRNA from 1 species
GUUCGCGUGGCCUAAUGGAUAAGGCGUCAGACUUCGGAUCUGAAGACUGCAGGUUCGAGUCCUGUCGCGAACG